rnacentral:rRNA from 1 species
UACGAAGGGGGCUAGCGUUGUUCGGAAUCACUGGGCGUAAAGCGCACGUAGGCGGACCUAUAAGUCAGGGGUGAAAUCCCGGGGCUCAACCUCGGAACUGCCUUUGAUACUGUGGGUCUCGAGACCGGAAGAGGUGGGUGGAAUUCCUAGUGUAGAGGUGAAAUUCGUAGAUAUUAGGAAGAACACCAGUGGCGAAGGCGGCUCACUGGUCCGGUUCUGACGCUGAGGUGCGAAAGCGUGGGGAGCAAACAUG